UCUAUGAAUCUGGACAAGUCACUUCUAUGAGAGUCAGCGGCCUUCAUCUGAAUUUGGGUCAUUUAAGAUAGUACCUGGCCCACAGCAUGUACUUAGGAAAUUUUUAUUCUUUUAUUAUACCUCCCUUACCUGAAAGCAAAAGCUAUUCAGGUGAACUAAAAUUAACUCGCCCUCCCCAUCUUUCUUGCUGAAUUACAAAACUAAAAGUUUUAACUUCAAUGUUUGGAUUUAAAGUAAUAUUGUUUAACAGACCAUAUGUGCAGUCCUUAGCUUUAAUGUUUUAUAUCACAAAUUCUGAUUCUUUUACUAUAAAAAGUUUAUGAUCCCAAUCAAACUAUUUUGAGCACAUAGCAGUUAUACAUUUUGUUUUGCAGGCAUGCUCUAAGAACUCCAGGGGCAAAUAUCUCUUACUGCCUUUUGCAGGUUGCAUGGUAGCCCUUUUGGUUUUCAGAUGAGCCCCCUAUUUGAAUGGAUGCAUUUUAGAAGGUGAGGGAGAGGAUGCCAAGCAGUGGCACUGAGCUCUCAGCUUCUAAAUGCAAAUCAAAUUACCAAAUUUUGACAAACUGUGAGAACAGACUAUAAAUGACCUAGCAUAGAGCAUCUAACCCCAAAUCAAGACCUUAUUCUAUAACUGGAAAUAAAAAACAAAGCAAAGGAAUGAAAAAAAUAUAUUGUUCACAAGACUUCAUGUUUAUUUAAUUUCCUACUCUUAAAGACUUGCUUGAUCUCGCUUUCCCUGUCUCAGGACGAAAAAAGGAACUUUCCAGUGGUUUUAGUAACACUGAAAUGAACCUGUACUUUCUAGAGGAGAUUGAGCUGUGGUCUUUCAGGGUCAAUGCCAGGCUGCCACUGUAUCCACUUACACCCAAGAAAGUAUUCUUUUCUUCUUAAGAUGAUGACUUUAUAUAACUAAGUUAGCAUUUUUAAGAUACUUAUUUUAAAAUUCAGCAAAUUACCUAUAUCAAAGCGUACCAUUAACCUUUUUUCUCCUCUUUGAUACAGCCGUGUUCAUUUUCUGUUGCUGCUGUAACAGCUCCUGAGGAACUAAGGCCCUCGGUCCAGCAGCCCACAAGGAACUGAAUUGUGCCAACAACCACAUGAGUGAGCUUGACAUCAGACCCACCCCAGUGGAGCCUCAGGAUGCCUACAGCCUGUGCAGGACCCUGAACAGAGGACCUGGCUAAAUGGCACCUACAUUUCUGACCCGCAGAUACAGUGAGACUAAAGCCUUCGUGUGAAUCAGAGACAGCCCAGCUAUGAGUGAAAGGCACAGCCAGCCAUACUACUCAUAGCAUAAAGCAAAGCUUUCUAAACAGUAAAACAUCCCUGGGACUUAAUGAGGACAUAAAUGAAGACUUGGCACACUGAUUCUGAAAGACUGCCAACCUCUGCACUAUCCAACAGGGAGCCAGGGCUGAUGCGUACUCGGAGUCCUGAUGGCCCCCAAUGUGUUUACCAAGUCUGGCUACUUAAACAAGUGUCCCAAGGGUCCUAAAUGGGAGGAGGUCCUUUUCUACUCAAAAGCCCUGGAAAGAAAGCAAAACAAAGGGACAGUGCAUGUCUUUGCUAAUUAAUCUUAUCACCCUGGAGUUCAGCCAUUGAUUGUGGCAGAUAAUGUUUCUGUCACACGGGAGUGAUUUCACUUUCCUCCCAAGCACUAAGGAAGACUGUAUUUCCCAAGCAUCCUUGCGUUUACACGGGGUCCGUGUGGUUAAAGCUGACCUGUAGACUAGAAGUGAUGUUCGUCACUUCCAGGCCUGGCCACAGAUUCUCUGACAUAAUCCUCCAUGGCCCCUCUCCCAUCCUGCACCAACUCUAGAUGACACAGCGUGAAGAUGGCAGUGCCGACCGUGGGAGGAAACUGGGUCGCUGAAUAACUAUUUAGUAGAGCUCCAUCUCCCUCUUUCAGUUCAACCUGCAUUGAACUUUAAUAUAGCAAUAACCUUGUUGAAUUAAGCCACUGAGAUCUAGGCAUUCUUUGUGAUAUCAGCUAGUGUUAUCUACCCCAACUAAUACACCAUACCCGUCAUGACUUGCUGGGAAUUUCCUCAUUCAGUCAGCAUUCACUAAACAGCUAAUGGCAAGAACUGUGUUAGAUGCUAUUGACAACCGAGGGAAGA